rnacentral:ribozyme from 13 species
GGUUGGAGCGCGAGGCACUCCGCAGCGCUGCGAGGAGCGGGCAAAAGCAAAAAAAAAAAAAAAAAAAAAAAAAAAAAAAA